AAUAAGCAUAGACAUGAGUUUUCGUGUCUAACUUUGAUCACUGGUCUUAUUUGAAGUUUUGUAUGAUUCGAUUUUUUAUUGUUAGUAGAUUAUAAAAUAUGAAUAGUAUUUUCUGCGUGACUUAUAUUUUUUAAUUUUUAAAACAGAUUCAAAUAAGAUGGAUCAUCAAAGUUGGAUACGAAAAUUUAUGGCUGCACAUAUU
rfam:Oryza glaberrima chromosome 11 Oglab11_0184_3, whole genome shotgun sequence.